GUCUCUGUGGCCUAAUUGAUCAGUGUGUUUGGCUGUUAACUGAAAGGUUGUUGGUUCAAGCCCACCCAGGGAUG
rnacentral:tRNA from 1 species